GCAGCGGCGAAACCCAGGGAGCCGAUGCCACGUGACCCAAUGUGGGCUCCUUUUAAACCUUUCUAAUGCCCAUAACCCAGCCGCAGGCCCAUGGAGCCCACGAGAGACUGCCCAUUGUUCGGGGGCGCCUUUUCCGCCAUCCUCCCCACGGGGGCCAUUGACGUAAGCGACCUCCGACCGGUCCCGGACAAUCAAGAAGUUUUCUGCCAUCCCGUGACGGACCAGAGCCUGAUCGUGGAACUUCUUGAGCUGCAGGCCCACGUGCGGGGCGAAGCGGCUGCGCGGUGAGAGAAUGGCCCCCAGCUGGCCAAUGGCAGGGGCGGGGUCGGGCCAGUGGGCGGGGCCCGCGGCCGACGGUUAAUCCGGGCGGUGAGACCUCGCAGGGACCGGGAGCCAGGCCUGCAACUUAAAGAUGCUCCUGGGGAGGCGACAAGAGAUGUCCCUUCCUGACCCCGCUUCCCUACUCCAGGUACCACUUUGAGGAUGUUGGUGGCGUGCAGGGGGCUAGGGCUGUCCAUGUAGAGUCUGUUCAGCCUCUCAGUUUGGAGAACCUGGCCCUGAGGGGCUGCUGUCAAGAAGCCUGGGUCCUCUCUGGCAAGCAGCAGAU
rnacentral:sRNA from 1 species